AUCCAAAAUAUAUCAUUUAAAUGCAUUAAGUUUUCAUUAAUGUCUUAAUUGUUCAGUAUAAUGAAGAACUACUCUUGUUUCAAAUACACAUAUUUCUACCUAAACUGGGUUUAUGAUGAUUUAUAGGGCAGUACAACGUAUGGAAGCUAUCAUCAAAAGUAAGGAUGAUUCACAAAACUUAAUUUUCAUUUCUGCAACCUGAAAACACAAGUCUAGCAAGGAGAAUGUUUCCUAAUAUGAGUUAGAAGAGAAGUUCAUGUCAUGGAAGCUUACCAACAAUGAGUACACAGCUCAUGAUAUUUAACUGUGACAUGAGGGAAAGCAGUCAUAUACAAGUAAUACAUCAUCAGUAGCAGAUGAAGAGACUAUCAGUGGUAUCUAGCAUUAUAAAAAGAUUUUGUGGGCCACAGCUGGAGAAAGGGGAAAGGAGCCACGCUGUGUCAAAACAAGGCAACUUUUGAAGAACAUUGCAGGAAACACAAAGUGCAAAGGUCCUGACCUGACAUGGACCUUUGACCGUCGCAGUGCUAACACAAGAGCUCACUUAUCAGAUCCGAGUGCCUUGGAAACCCAAAGACAGCUGGCACUUACAGAGAAUAGGAGGUUAGUAAAAUGAAUGAUGUUGUACUGAAAUGCACAAGGUAAAUAUUUUGAUAUGUUAGAAGAGCAUAUAUACCCUUAAACCUCAUCCAUAUGGACACCACAUACACAUGGGGCUUGAGCCAGAAAAG
rnacentral:lncRNA from 1 species